rnacentral:rRNA from 1 species
CACGUAGGCACCAAGCGUUGUCCGGAUUUAUUGGGCGUAAAGAGCUCGUAGGCGGUUGAGUAAGUCGGGUGUGAAAACUCUGGGCUUAACCCAGAGCCGCCACCCGAUACUGCUCUGACUUGAGUUCGGUAGGGGAGAUCGGAAUUCCUGGUGUAGCGGUGAAAUGCGCAGAUAUCAGGAGGAACACCGGUGGCGAAGGCGGAUCUCUGGGCCGAUACUGACGCUGAGGAGCGAAAGCGUGGGGAGCGAACAGG